UUGCUGCAAUAUUUUUUUUAAAAAAAAAUUGGCGGUACGCAUGCUUUUAAAUAAGAUCUCAUCUCUGAGUUAGAGUAAACUGUCAAGACUUAAAACUUACUUACUUUACCUCCACCAUGGGCUGAAUUUUGACGUAAUUUCUCUUGAUGUAGCUAGCAGGUGGCAGAGGUGUAGUUGAAAGUCAGCAGCAUUCUGACAGCGAUUAGAAUGUCCUCCGUCUGCUAGUCUUCUUGAAUUCUGUGGAGCUCAAAUAGACAACAAAGCUUGUGGAACUGAUUAAGUGUUAGCAUAAAUAUAUAGCCUUCAUCAUCUUGAGACUCCUUAAUAAUUAUUACUCCCUGUUUUUAUAUUUUUAUUUUAUAAAGCAGAAAAUAUUUAUUUUAUUUUUAUGCCACCACAGUGAAUGUACGUAUGGGUUUUAUGCCACUCGUAUACUCACAUGGGGUUUACUGUUUUUUUAUAUUUUUAUUUUCUUUUUAGGAUAGCAUGAACAUGUUUAACUAAAUAAACUAUUUGAAAUAACUGAAAGAAAGGAUAACUACCAAGUUUACCUCUUGGCAAGGCGUUCGGUGUUUUUAAGUCCUCCGAACGGGACUCUCCACUUUCUUAAUCGUCCUGAGGUUCGUUGGGUGGCGUAGUCGGUACUUCCGGCAGCGCCUCCUCUUCUUGUAUAGUUAUCUUCAUUUUCCAUACCUGACUCGGUGCUUCAAUCUCCUCUGGAUAAUUCUGUUUAAACUCUACGUCUUCUGACCUUACAACUUCUCCUUCAUAGUCUGCCCAUCCGUCCUUGAUGAUGUGCCUCCUCUGGUUGCGGUUGCGUCUCUUUCUGACCUGCUUAGAUUCUUCAACGAUAUAGUUAGGGUCAGUAAAAUAACGGCGUACCUUCUCUGAGGGGAAGUGCAUAUGGACUUCUCCGGUUCCAAUGUAGAUAAUUGCUUUAACGGUGCUGAGGAACGGCCUUCCAAGGAUGAUUUGUGGAUCAUACUCGUCUUCUCCCAUGUCAACAACUUGAAAGUCUGUGUAAACAAAGUGAUCGUCUAUUUUGACUGGGACAUCAGUUAUUAUUCCUUGAACUUCUCGAAAUGUCUGAUCUGCCAUCUGGAGCUGAAUGUAUGUUGGUCUUAGUGGCAUGGUCCCGAACAAGAGCCGAUAGGUGACUGCGGCCAUUAUGUUGACGCCUGAUCUGGUGUCGCAAAUCGUCUUAUAGAAGUUGUAUCCAUUUAUGGAGCAGUAGAUGCUUGACAUUCCUGGGUCGUCCUUCUUGGUCAAAAACAGUGACUUAAGUUGGUGAUCUUGGCCUCCAUGAAUUGCAGUGACCAUCUUAGCUGACUCGGUCCACACUUGCUUGUUCCUGUUUCUCCUGUUGGUCCUCUUCCUUGAUUCACGUCUGGAUUGAUUUGGAAUUUGUGUAGUCUUGUUCUUGAAGAAAAAUGUCUCCUUCUUCCCUUUGACAUAGAAACUGAUCUUGGCAGCACUGGCGUAGAUGAUAGCUCCCGUGGUGUUCAAGAAUGGCCUCCCUAAAAUGAUAGGUGCUCUCUCAUCAUUUCCGGUCUCUACCACUACGAAGUCUGCUGGUGCAUACAAGGUACCAACUCGGACACAAAGGUUCCUCACUAUUCCUUUUGGAAAAGUUAUCGUCUGAUCUGCAAACUGCAAACACAUGGUUGUCUCUAAUAAAGGAUAUGUAAAGAAUUUUUCAUAGAGUACCCUGGGUAUAAUGUUGACGCUAGAGCCAAAGUCGCAGAGUGCUUCUGGGAAGUCCACCAUGCCGAUGGAGAUCGGGAUGACGGGGCGUCCUGGAUCGCCUCUCUUGACCGGCAUAAGGUCAAUAGAGAAUUCAUUGACGGGGUUACUCCAAUUACCUGCAUCAAACAUGUCUACAAGAUUUGCAGAUUCUAAUCCUUCCGGUUGUGAUAGUAUACCGGGGUUAGUAGUAGGAACAGCAGCAGCUAUUUGAUUUAACUGAGAUUCAAUCAUUUUAUUAAAGCUAAUUUGAUUCUUGAUGGCAGUAGAGAAAUUAUCCAUUGUAUUAUUUAUAUUUUCUAGCAUUUUAUCAUUAGAUGCCAAUUUCUUAGAUAGGUUAUCCAUUAGCUUUCCUUGAUUAGACACUAACACUCUCAAAGGUGGAAAAUUAUUAUUGUUGUAAGAAUUGUUACCUUGAUAAUUACCUGAGUAGUUAGGCCUCUGUUGAUUCCAACCUUGAUUUUGUUGAGGACGGUUGUAGUAGUAGUUGUUGUUGUUGUUGUUGAUGUAGUUCACAUCCUCAAGUAUCUCAGGGCAGUGGUUGCCUGAGUGUCCAGUGUCUCCACACUCCUCACAAGUCAUGUGAGAGUCGUAGAUGUGCAUAACUUCUUUCUUGUCUCCAGCUCUAUCGUCGAGCUUCUUCAUGAGUAGGUCUAGCUUUGCAGACAGCAUGUCUACCUCCUUCAGCUGAUGCAUACCUCCACCUCUCUUGCGUGUCUGGGUCCUCUCUUCAUUCCAGCUUUGAUUGGACGCCAUCUUCUCCACAAGAGCUGUGGCUUGUGGUAUAGUAAGUGAUAAGAAUGCUCCUCCGGCUGCAGCAUCCAUGGUCUCUCGGGCACUGUUGCUGAGCCCAUGAUAAAACGUCUGCAUCAAUAGCCAACUCUCCAUUCCAUGAUGGGGACAUUCUAGGAUGUAGUCUUGAAAGCGCUCCCAUGCUUCUGGAACAGAUUCAUCAUUUUGUUGCUGAAAACUUGUAAUCUUCCCACGGAGAGCAUUAGUCUUGCCCAUGGGAAAGAACUUAGCUAGGAAGUUUGUUGAGCAGAGUGCCCACGUAGUAUUCUUCUCCUUUGUAGCGUAGAACCACUGCUUCGCUCUUCCUAACAGUGAGAAUGGGAAGAGGCGAAGUAGUAUAGCGUCUUUGGAAACUCCUCCUAUGGUGAAUGUGUUGCAAAUCUCCAGGAAGUGUUGUAAAUGAGCACUAGCAUCUUCGUGUGCCUUCCCAUAGAACUGGUUGGAUUGCACCAUGUUGAUAAGUCCAGGCUUGAGCUCAAAGUUGCCAUCGAUCUCUGCAGCAGGUCCAGUGCGGAUGUUGUCCGUAGUGGGAGCUGAGAACUCGCGGAUUGAUUUGUUCGCCAUGGCUUCGAACUCUGAAGACAAGUUCCGGUGAUCUUCGUGAUUGGAUGAAGCUUCUUGCUGAAGUGUUGAUGAUUUCUUUAGCUUGGCCCUCGUCUUCUUGAAUAAUGCUUCAGGAUUGUCAACAAAAUUCCCUGGAAGAUGUCUUCUAUUCAUACAUUCCCCUGCAUAAGAUAAAAUAGAAAAAUAUCGGGGUAAAACUGUAUGAGAGAAUAGAUAAGCUCAAUCAUAUUAGUGAUGCGAAUGAUUACUCCAAAUCUUUUAUUCUAUUCCUGAUUGGUAAUCAACCUUCCCCGGCAACGGCGCCAAAAAUGCUUGUUGGGUAUUCUUAACAUCAUUACUAAAAGUAGACUAAGUUCUCUAAAUCUAGCAACGGUGCUAAAAAUGCCAAACCUAUCCCUUACACCACUUAAGCCAAGUUGUCAUCCCCAGCAUGAUAUAAGAGACGCGUUAUUGAAAUAUGCAAUUGCUCUUCUAAAUAAAUAAUGAAUGGGAUCUGCAAGCGCACAGAUUAAUACCGAUGCAGCAUUUUAACCGGGAAGUAUUCCAGGUAUCGUUAUUUAUAUUUUUACCACUAGGAAGGGAUUAGAAAUCAUCACUAAUGAUUACAGAAUAGAAUAUGAGAUUGAGCAUCUAUCAUUGCAUGUAUAAUUGAGAACAUUAUAUCUAACUCAUCAUACAGGGAUAAGUGUCACAUAAAAGAUAUAUGAAAUAAUAAUAGUGACAAGGAUAACUAAUCUGAUCUAGCCACAUAAUAAAUAUGAUAAGCACCUCAAUUAGAUACUCUAGAAAGUCAUUAGCAUGGUAUUAGAACGAACUACAAGAAUAUUCCGUAAGUUAUUCUUAACUAUAUAGUCUAGCAUAUCAUAGUUAGUGCAAGCAUACUUAGCAAUCAUUGUGAGACAAGACUACGCCCAUGCAUAGUGAUAUUAGCAAGGAAUAUGAGAAACAUAGCAAUCACUCCCCUGUAAUAAUGUUGCUCUGCCAGCCCAAUACACGAGAGGGGGACUAUAUAAGAAUCAAUGAUGCUAUCACUAUCACGAACUACCCCACGAUCUGGCAUAUUGGGUACAAUCGCAGAUAAAUACGGUAUAAGCACCACGCCUACACAAUAUCUAUCAUUUACCCAUGGAUCCGAUGGAUAAACGCUAUACGAUCCUAAGCAUGUAUAUAGAUCGUAUUUAACUAAGCUAAGUACAUAACUAUGAUAAACUAAGAACAAUAUAAUCUUGAAUAUGAGCAAAUAGAGCAAAGUCAUAAGCAAUAUAUUGAAGUAGAACAAAGUCAUAUUCAUAAUAUUGAAGAACAAAGAUAAUUAGAAAGCAAUUAGAAGCACAAUUAGAGAAUUACCAAGAAUCCUCCUGACAGAUCCGGAAACCAAUCGAAGAUUGACUCCUUCUAGUUCUAAUCCUAUGUAGCUAUGCUAAUCUAGAUAUCUAAUUGAUGUGGUGGCUCUAAUCUUGAUCAGAGGCUUCUUCUCCCUUGAUGGAACAAUGAAUUAGGGUUGAGAGGCUCUCUCCUCCAGGGGCCAGGGGGUCUGGUUUUAUAGUCCCUUCAAGUGAACAUGGGCCCUUGGAUCAAACCGACAUAGAUUGUAUGGUUUAGAUUCAUCCUUUAGGUCGGUGGAGACUUCCCGCAAAGCAGAGUCGUGAUUGGACUUGGACAGGGGGCGGGCGCCCAGUAGGACAGGGCGGGCGCCCUGCCUCUGGCCCCGUUUCGCCUCCGCUUCGGUCUCGUGGCUUCUGGAGUCUUCUAGAUGUAAGAUAAUUGCGCAACACGUUAAUAUCUUUACGUAAUCCUGACAUGUGGGCCUUUCUUCCGUAUUUCCUGAUAACCCCCUGCAGAAAUAGACAAACACCAAAACUCGUGGAAUUCUGUCAGAUAAAACCCUAAGUCUAGAUCUUGAUUUCAUUUGGAUCCUUUUCUUUAUUUAUUUGAUAAUUAAAUUUGAUACUUAAGGACCGUCAACAAACUCCCCCAAGCUUACCUCUUGCUCGUCCCUGAGCAAGGAUAGACUCAGCUAUGGAUCAGAAGUUGCUGCAAUAUUUUUUUUAAAAAAAAAAAUUGGCGGUACACAUGCUUUUAAAUAAGAUCUCAUCUCUGAGUUAGAGUAAACUGUCAAGACUUAAAACUUACUUACUUUACCUCCACCAUGGGACUUGUAACUGUCACUUCUGUCUUGAGUGGUUAAAAGAUAGAACAGUCUAGCCAAGUGCCAUGUCUCUUAUUCUUGAUCAGCUAUAGCUCUAGGAUUUUUGCAGAUUUUCAAAUAAAACUCAGAGAUUCCUUGUAUGAUUCUCUCAGGUCUCUCUUUUGUGGUAUUUUUGGAUCCUUACCAAGGCAUUGAUGGUAUAUGCCUUCUCUCAAGAAAUGUGGUAUUUGUGGUAUGAGGCAUAGUGAUAUUGCCUUCUCUUUCACCCUACUCUAAUAUGGCUUUAAUAUCUGGAGCUCAUAGGUGGGAGAUAAAAUAUACAUACUUACAAGACAUUUAUUGCAUAGUCAAACCAUGGAUCCAAAGUAACAAGUCAAUAAGUUUAAUCAAGAUGUGCAUGUGUGGCGAAUGAAUGGUAUAUGGUGAUGAUGGUGAUAACAAUGGUGAAAACAAUAGUGGUGGAAGUCUAAUUCUAAUUUGUUCUUUUGAGGGGAUACAUACCUUCCUUGCUUUUGAAACUUUAUGAGGAGAAUGAGAUGCUCUUCUUUUUCUUUUCUCUCAGGUGGGUAUCUUGCACCCCUAAUUCUACUGUCGGACACUUGUCCAUUUUUACCUCUCGUCUCACUUUUUCUUUUCUUUCGAGGUUCCGAGCACUUGCUCCUUUUUAUUUCCUCGUAUUAUUUUCUCUCUUUUUUUUAGAACACUCAUCUCUUGAGAUAAUAUAGCAAGUGGUAGUAACAAGAUAACUUGAGCAUUUAUUUCACAAGGGGAAAACAGAAAAUAUUUUUGGUAAUUCUCUCCCGGAUUAGGAGUAGAAUAUUUUUAGGUGGUUCUGGAGAUGGAAUGGGUGGAUAUAUGUGGAUGGUACUUCCGGAAUAGAAGUAGCAUAUAUGAUUGAACGUGCAAGUGAAAUCUUGAUUUAACCACAUGACAAGCUCCUAAGGGUCUACACAGCUUGACCACACUCAAUGCUCAUAAGCAGUAAAUAAUAAAUGUGUGGCUCAAAGUCUAGCAAGCAUGCAUAUAUGGCUGUGGUAGGAAUUUUAAGCUCUCAUCAUACAGGAACUCAUCAUGCAACAUUUUAAAGAUUUUCAAAGAUAAAAUUCUCCAGAAUUCUAGCAUCUCUAGGAACAGAUAAACAGCAGCUCAGCCUUCCCAUAUCGUAUCCGUUAACAACUUAGACUUCAGAUCAAGUUUUCAUCCCACAAGUUUAGGUCUAGAGCAAGCUUUAAAUUAUAACUGUUAUGUCUAAACUUGAGAGAGAACUUAAAAUGUGUAAAUUAGGCAGAGCAACUAUUCAUCAUAUCCAUGCUUAAGUUUUAUUUAGAUACAAAUUAGCAUAGCCACUUUAUUUAUUUAUUAAACACACUAAGCAAAAGACAUAUAUAUAUAAGCAUAAAAUCUUUAUUUGGUUUUCCCAUAGUUAUGUAUUUUAAUAUUCUAAAAUAAUAUAAGUAUAAAGAUAGAUAAAAAUACUUAUCGGAAUAAAUGGGGGUGCUCUCCCCCAAGCUGAAUUUUGACGUAAUUUCUCUUGAUGUAGCUAGCAGGUGGCAGAGGUGUAGUUGAAAGUCAGCAGCAUUCUGACAGCGAUUAGAAUGUCCUCCGUCUGCUAGUCUUCUUGAAUUCUGUGGAGCUCAAAUAGACAACAAAGCUUGUGGAACUGAUUAAGUGUUAGCAUAAAUAUAUAGCCUUCAUCAUAUUGAGACUCCUUAAUAAUUAUUACUCCCUGUUUUUAUAUUUUUAUUUUAUAGAGCAGAAAAAUAUUUAUUUUAUUUUUAUGCCACCACAGUGAAUGUACGUAUGGGUUUUAUGCCACUCGUAUACUCACAUGGGGCUUACUAUUUUUUUAUAUUUUUAUUUUCUUUUUAGGAUAGCAUGAACAUGUUUAACUAAAUAAACUAUUUGAAAUAACUGAAAGAAAGGAUAACUACCAAGUUUACCUCUUGGCAAGGCGUUCGGUGUUUUUAAGUCCUCCGAACGGGACUCUCCACUUUCUUAAUCGUCCUGAGGUUCGUUGGGUGGCGUAGUCGGUACUUCCGGCAGCGCCUCCUCUUCUUGUAUAGUUAUCUUCAUUUUCCAUACCUGACUCGGUGCUUCAAUCUCCUCUGGAUAAUUCUGUUUAAACUCUACGUCUUCUGACCUUACAACUUCUCCUUCAUAGUCUGCCCAUCCGUCCUUGAUGAUGUGCCUCCUCUGGUUGCGGUUGCGUCUCUUUCUGACCUGCUUAGAUUCUUCAACGAUAUAGUUAGGGUCAGUAAAAUAACGGCGUACCUUCUCUGAGGGGAAGUGCAUAUGGACUUCUCCGGUUCCAAUGUAGAUAAUUGCUUUAACGGUGCUGAGGAACGGCCUUCCAAGGAUGAUGGGUGGAUCAUACUCGUCUUCUCCCAUGUCAACAACUUGAAAGUCUGUGUAAACAAAGUGAUCGUCUAUUUUGAUUGGGACAUCAGUUAUUAUUCCUUGAACUUCUCGAAAUGUCUGAUCUGCCAUCUGGAGCUGAAUGUAUGUUGGUCUUAGUGGCAUGGUCCCGAACAAGAGCCGAUAGGUGACUGCGGCCAUUAUGUUGACGCCUGAUCCGGUGUCGCAAAUCGUCUUGUAGAAGUUGUAUCUAUUUAUAGAGCAGUAGAUGCUUGGCAUUCCUGGGUCGUCCUUCUUGGUCAAAAACAGUGACUUAAGUUGGUGAUCUUGGCCUCCAUGAAUUGCAGUGACCAUCUUAGCUGACUCGGUCCACACUUGCUUGUUCCUGUUUCUCCUGUUGGUCCUCUUCCUUGAUUCACGUCUGGAUUGAUUUGGAAUUUGUGUAGUCUUGUUCUUGAAGAAAAAUGUCUCCUUCUUCCCUUUGACAUAGAAACUGAUCUUGGCAGCACUGGCGUAGAUGAUAGCUCCCGUGGUGUUCAAGAAUGGCCUCCCUAAAAUGAUAGGUGCUCUCUCAUCAUUUCCGGUCUCUACCACUACGAAGUCUGCUGGUGCAUACAAGGUACCAACUCGGACACAAAGGUUCCUCACUAUUCCUUUUGGAAAAGUUAUCGUCUGAUCUGCAAACUGCAAACACAUGGUUGUCUCUAAUAAAGGAUAUGUAAAGAAUUUUUCAUAGAGUACCCUGGG
rnacentral:lncRNA from 1 species